GACCUUAUAGUAUAUAAUGAUUACUAUAAACUGCAACUUUAUCAAAGCUCUAAUGCUAAGGUUU
rnacentral:tRNA from 1 species